CCUACGGUGGGCUGCAGUGGGGAAUAUUGCACAAUGGGGGAAACCCUGAUGCAGCGACGCCGCGUGAGGGAAGACGGCCCUACGGGUUGUAAACCUCUUUUGCCGGGGAGCAAGCCUGAGCACGUGUGCCCAGGCGGAGAGUACCCGGAGAAAAAGCAUCGGCUAACUCCGUGCCAGCAGCCGCGGUAAUACGGAGGAUGCGAGCGUUAUCCGGAUUUAUUGGGGUUAAAGGGUGCGCAGGCGGGCUGUUAAGCCGGCGGUAAAAAUUCAGGGCUCAACCCUGUCGAGCCGUCGGAACUGGCAGUCUUGAGUGGGCGAGAAGUAUGCGGAAGGCGUGGUGUAGCGGUGAAAUGCAUAGAUAUCACGCAGAACGCCGAUUGCGAAGGCAGCAUACCGGCGCCCAACUGACGCUGAGGCACGAAAGCGUGGGGAUCGAACAGGAUUAGAUACCCCAGUAGUC
rnacentral:rRNA from 1 species